rnacentral:rRNA from 1 species
AGCAGUCGCCGCGGUAAUACGAAGGGGGCUAGCGUUGUUCGGAUUUACUGGGCGUAAAGGGCGCGUAGGCGGACUGAUAAGUCAGGGGUGAAAUCCCAAGGCUCAACCUUGGAACUGCCUUUGAUACUGUUUGUCUUGAGUUCGAGAGAGGUAAGUGGAACUGCGAGUGUAGAGGUGAAAUUCGUAGAUAUUCGCAAGAACACCAGUGGCGAAGGCGGCUUACUGGCUCGAAACUGACGCUGAGGCGCGAAAGCGUGGGGAGCAAACAGGAUUAGAGACCCCCGUAGUCCCUGUCUCUUAUAA